rnacentral:lncRNA from 1 species
GAACACUGAUCUAGGGAGUGCAUAUCCCAGAGACUACCCUUCCCUGUAUGAACUUGUCCCAUUGCUUCCUAAGUUCAUUCUAGGGGAAGGGUACCAUCUUCAUAGCUCAAGAAGCAACAAAGAGGUGUGAGUGGGGAAGAAAACAAGGUGUUUUGCUACUGCCUUAAAACUGUGGAAGAAAUUCCCAGAGGAUUUAGAAACAUUAGAAAGGCAUUUGGAAGUUGAUGCUGAUGUUGGCUGGUGCUCCCUGUUCUUUAAAACUCCCUACUUAUUCUGAUGGGAUUCUGGUUCCUCACCUCAUUCCAGGGUUCCAUGUACAUUCUAAUACACAUGUGAAACUGAGACACGUGCUUGUUUAUGUUGACAAAGAAAGGAGGUUUGUUCACAUGCCGUUUCUGUCCCUGUGGAGCUGGUUCCACCAGUAAAAUAAAUAGGGAAACUUAUGUUGAUGAAAUUGCUCUGGAAGAUAACCGGAGCUUCUAAACCAACAAGAAGUAAGGAAUUCUCAAUCAAUCAUUGAAUUCCAUCCCAAUGAAUGGCAGGAAUGCUGGUGCCAGGAGGGUAUUCCAUCUAAGUAGAGCACAUGUUUUGCAUGCAAAAGGUCUUAGGUAGGAGAACUGUAGUAGUAGUAGUAGUAGUAGUAGUAGUAGUAGUAAGUAUUAGUAUUAUUUCCCCAGCCACUCUAGGUGGCUUACAGCAUAUCUGAAAACAUAUUAAAAACAUCAAGCAUCAGUCAAUGUAGUCAGUCAGUGUAGACAAUACUGAACUAGAUGGACCCGAGGUCUGAUGCAUAGCAGCUUCCUAUAUACCUAUCUGGGUCAUGCUCUCAGAGGUUCUCUUUCCUCACAUACCAGUGGUUUCAUUACUGGACAGCAAUUCGUAGGCACCACUACUGAACUAUAGUUAUAGUAAAGUAAAUAAAUAUUGCAGCGUCAAGACCCAUUUGUCCUUUUUUUCUUCUUUUUUUACAUUAAUAGGAUAUGCGGUGUAAUCCCCAAACCAUGCUAAUUUAUCCUACAGUUUACUAGAGUGGCUUAGCAUAUCCCCCUUUAUUAUUGCAGGCUAUAGCUGUACAUUGUUGGCAAUUCUUGAUAGGCAGAAAUCUCUGGCAACUACAUUUCUGUUGGGGUACUUUCUCUCUCUGUCCAAAUGCCUGUACAUGUUCUGCACACUGUGUUCCCUGUAAGAGAGCCAUUUAUUGUGCAAACGUUGCUCCUUUGAAUUCCUAGUAUUUGAGCAAAGCCUUCCCGCUAUUCUCUGCCUGGGGAUUUAAAAUAUGAGCCAUCUUUUGUGCUGCUACAUUAUAGACUUGUGGAGUCAGGGUUUCUUUUCCUGUUUAAAAAGCCAUAUGAGAAGAAAAGUUUUUUUUUGGUUUUUGUUUUCUUGGCAAGGCUGCCCUUCCAAGCGAAUGUCAUAUCAGGAUGCUGUCCUGCCGGCAGCCAAGUGCAGCCCAGUUCAUCGGCAGAAAUACUGUGUCAGUGGUUUUGUCAGUCUCUAGGUGCAUGAUUAAUUGUGAGGAUAGUUCUGUAAAUCAGAUACAAAGGCUCAUUAUCAAUGCAGAAAUUAACUUACAUGGUCUUAUGUGUUUGCUGACUUAGGCCACAGUCUCACUGCACUGUGCCUACAUAGAGAGGAUUCCCAUUAACUCCUGACCACCAACCCUAGGUGGCAACUCACAGUGUAGAAUGGGAGGCCUUUGUACAUCUCCAGCAUGGUGUGGUGGUUAGAGUGUUGGACUAGGACCUGAGAGACAAGGGUUCAAAUCCCCACUCAGCCAUGACCUUGGGCCUGUCACUGCCUCUCAGCCUAAUGCACCUUAGGGGGUUGUUGUAGGGAUUAAAUGAAAAAAGGAAAAACCAUGUACAGGCGUUGAUCAUUUCACACAUGGGUUCCAAUCCUGGCCCCCGCACGCAUCAGCGGACUACACGUGGUAAAGGUAAAGCACCCCAGGACUAUGGUGACUAUGGGUUGCGGCACUCAUAUCGCUUCAGGCCAAGAAAGCUGGUGUUUGUCCACAGACAGCUUUCCGAGUCACGAGGCCAGCAUGACUAAACCGCUUCUGGCACAAUGGAACACCGUGACGGAAACCAGAGCGCACAGAAACUCUGUUUACCUUCCCACCACAGCAGUACCUAUUUAUCUACUUGCACUGGGGUGCUUUUGAACUGCUAGGUUGGCAGGAGCUGGGACAGAGCAACGGUAGUUCACCCCACCGCUGGGAUUCGAACAGCCAACCUUCUGAUUGGCAAGCCCAAGAGGAUCAGUGGUUUAGACCACAGCACCACCCGUGUAUAAGCACGCCACACCCUGCCCCACCCCGUUCUGCCUUCUUCUGGGUCCAAAAGGACCCACACAUCAGCGAUCGCAUAUCAAUUGGACAUGCCUAAAAUGGUUGUCACCUGUAUGCCAUCUUUUUUUAAGAAUUAGAUUUUAUGAAAGUUUUUUGUGUUUCCAUCUCAAGCUCCUUGAAGGGAAGGUAGAAUAUAAAUGUCAUAUGAAAUGAAAUAAAUCCCCAUUUAGACCUUCCUCUCUGAACGAUGUACAUUGACCAUACAGCAGGGAGGGAAGGCAUGCAUAGACCCUGGCUUUGCAUUCCCUGCUGUGUUGCCUGUGCACAUAGCUCCACAGUCUAUGCCCACAGAGGAACUGAUGUUCUUUUUUAUUUCAUGUCUUCAUUCAUUUAUUUAAUUGCAGCAGAAAAAUAUGUGAGUUCUCUCUACUCUAAAGGCACCAUAUGCAGUAUAGAAAUGUACCAUAAUGCAGAAUAUAAUAAAAAGCGCUAUUAUCCUAUAUACUAAUAUCAAACUCAUCCUAUGAGUUCUGGGUCUUAUGCUGCCAAAACAGUACCAUCCAUGAACAAAAGAGGGGCACCAGCAGACUUGGAGGCAUAAAGUUAGCAAAAGUACAAAUAAAAUCCCCUUGGGGGGGGGACCCUUCAAAGCAGAAUUUUGCAUGAAAAUUGGGGGAGAUGAAAUGGAAUAUUCUGGAAAAGAACAUGGCUGGCUGGCUGGCAAGCUGGAACAUUGAACCAAAGCAUCCCACAAAGACAAGAGAAGAAGGCUAAGGAAGGACAAGACAUGCAAAUGGUUUUACAUCUAAGGAUGAAGAAUAACAGAUUAAGCUAAACUGGCAUCAUGGGAGAAGGAUGUUAAGUGUCACACACAGUAGCUUACAGUUCCUUGGUGGUUCUGUGGUGGCUUGAAAUAUACCCUUGGGGGACACAAAGGCUUCCCCAAGAGUUGAAAAGAGGGUGAGUGAAUUGAGAAUAGGAGCAAAUGGCAGCACAACCACUUCCCUCUCAUCAUGGCCACCCCAUCUAAACUUCAAAGUUGGAAAUCAGUAUAUAAAGUGAGCUAUAUCCAAAAACUCUCCUGUGAAAUCAGAUACACUUCUUUUGCCAUAUUGGCCUGACAGGGCGCAGUGAACUUUGAAUGAAAUUCAGUCUGAUGCUAUCACAGUUGGGGUGCUGCAUCCUAUAUUGCCUUGGGAUAAAAACCAAGCAGAGAACAGGAAGGAACUCUGAUGUCAGCCAUUCUCAUCUGCUUCGCGAGGACUCGUCCUAAUUUAAAACAAGCAAUCUCAAGACUCAAGACUUUGUUGCACUGCUUUUUGGUACUCUGCGAGUGUGACCUCAGAUACUAUCGUGCGUGUUUUAUGUGAAACCGUGGAUUCCUAUUUUAUCCAUGAAAAUGGAUUUGCCUUUAACAUGAAAGCGCACAAUUUUUCAUUUGGAACCAAAGAUGCAUGCCACCCUCCCUUCUACUCCUGAGGUUUAACUUUCCUCGGUUGGUUUAACAAUGGUUGGAUUCCUCCCCCGCCCACUUCUCUGGGGCUUUCUCCUUUGGGACAGCAUGUCAGGAGCCAGCAGCUGUCUUUGGAACUAAUAAGCAGAAUGCAUGGUGACUUCAUUAGCCACACACAUCACAGAGGCCUAAUCCCCACGCUCCCUUUCUAUGUCAGUGUGCUGUAUCUUUUGCAUGUCUAGCCCUUCCUUGGUAACUUGUUAAACACUUGUGUUGUUCCCAUAAAGGCACACAUCACUGCUGCAGAGCAGACUAAACUGGAUGGAAUAAUU